AUACAGGGGAGUAACAGUUANAAAUGACUGCUAAUACCGCAUAAGCGCACAGUGCUGCAUGGCACAGUGUGAAAAACUCCGGUGGUAUGAGAUGGACCCGCGUCUGAUUAGCUAGUUGGUGGGGUAACGGCCUACCAAGGCGACGAUCAGUAGCCGGCCUGAGAGGGUGAACGGCCCACAUUGGGACUGAGACACGGCCCAAACUCCUACGGGAGGCAGCAUG
rnacentral:rRNA from 1 species